UACGUAGGGUGCAAGCGUUGUCCGGAAUUAUUGGGCGUAAAGAGCUCGUAGGCGGUUUGUUGCGUCGGCUGUGAAAUCCCGAGGCUCAACCUCGGGUCUGCAGUCGAUACGAGCAAACUAGAGUGUUGCAGGGGAGACUGGAAUUCCUGGUGUAGCGGUGAAAUGCGCAGAUAUCAGGAGGAACACCGGUGGCGAAGGCGGCCAUCUGGACCGUUUCUGACGCUGAGGCGCGAAAGCCAGGGGAGCAAACGGG
rnacentral:rRNA from 1 species